CAGUCGCCACGGGAAAACGGAGGGUGCGAGCGUUAAUCGGAAUAACUGGGCGUAAAGGGCACGCAGGCGGUUAUUUAAGUGAGGUGUGAAAGCCCCGGGCUUAACCUGGGAAUUGCAUUUCAGACUGGGUAACUAGAGUACUUUAGGGAGGGGUAGAAUUCCACGUGUAGCGGUGAAAUGCGUAGAGAUGUGGAGGAAUACCGAAGGCGAAGGCAGCCCCUUGGGAAUGUACUGACGCUCAUGUGCGAAAGCGUGGGGAGCAAACAGGAUUAGAUACCCCUGUAGUCCCUGUCUCUUAUAA
rnacentral:rRNA from 1 species